GUCUUAUUGGCACUUAUAUCAAAUAUCAUUUUGUCUUAUGCUCUAGAUUUUUUUUUUGCCUAACUAAUAUUUCGAUUUGAGUCACUGAUAAGUGUUGAUUACACAAAACAGGUGUCUGGUUAACAUUAAAAGCCUGGUACGUUUGAUAUUAUUUAAAACAUUGAAUUUAUUGACUAAACAUUAAACAGUCAGGGGUACUACUUAAACAAGUGAUUUCA
rnacentral:lncRNA from 1 species